rnacentral:rRNA from 1 species
UACGGAGGGAGCUAGCGUUGUUCGGAAUUACUGGGCGUAAAGCGCACGUAGGCGGCUUUGUAAGUUAGAGGUGAAAGCCCGGGGCUCAACUCCGGAACUGCCUUUAAGACUGCAUCGCUUGAAUCCAGGAGAGGUGAGUGGAAUUCCGAGUGUAGAGGUGAAAUUCGUAGAUAUUCGGAAGAACACCAGUGGCGAAGGCGGCCCACUGGACGACUGUUGACGCUGAGGUGCGAAAGCGUGGGGAGCAAACAGG